rnacentral:lncRNA from 1 species
AUCUAAAACUGUCAUGCCCAAAGCAGAAGUUCAUGAAACAUAUACUGAUGAGUCAUUUCUCCCUGCCCCUGCACUCCAAGCACGUUCAUAGAGUCAAGGACAAAGCUGAUGCCUGCCAACCAGACAAGCUAAGUAAAUGAACGAGCACAUCAAGUCUAUUCGUGUGGCUUCUAGAGGCCUCCAAGGCCAGGAAAAGGGGAAAAAACCUACCGUGCUUAAUUUGAAGAAUCGAAUAACCCAUCAACGUUUUCCAAACCACAACCAUGCGGCAGAGGAAAAAAUCACAGAGCCACCGUGCAAUUGAUGCGGGCCAAAAAAACCCUAGAAACUAGAAAAAGCUCUUGAUAAAAACAAAACCUGUGAAGACACGACAAAGGAGCUGAAAUUGAUGGCAAUUUCCUAAGGCAAUUUUUGCUUUUCAAACAUAUUCAAGUUUCCUGAGGGCAGAGAUCGCUCCUCGUGAACGAAAUCGUUUUCUCUUUCAGACGUCAGUGCAUAGGAAGUGGUUUUGUGUGGAAAGGAAAGCGAUUGAAUUUAGAUAAAUGCCAGUCCCAGAGCAGAUGUUCGCUACUUGGACAAAGAAAUAAAGCACAGGGAGAAAAAGUCA